UACGGAGGAUCCGAGCGUUAUCCGGAUUUAUUGGGUUUAAAGGGCGCGCAGGCGGCCUCUUAAGUCUGAUGUGAAAUCUUGUGGCUUAACCACAAGCGGUCAUUGGAAACUGAGAAGCUUGAGUGCAGAAGAGGAGAGUGGAAUUCCACGUGUAGCGGUGAAAUGCGUAGAGAUGUGGAGGAACACCAGUGGCGAAGGCGACUCUCUGGUCUGUAACUGACGCUGAGGCGCGAAAGCGUGGGGAGCGAACAGGAUUA
rnacentral:rRNA from 1 species